UACGUAGGGCGCAAGCGUUUGUCCGGAAUUAUUGGGCGUAAAGAGCUCGUAGGCGGUUUGUCGCGUCUGCUGUGAAAACCUAAGGCUCAACCUUGGGCUUGCAGUGGGUACGGGCAGACUAGAGUGCGGUAGGGAGACUGGAAUUCCUGGUGUAGCGGUGAAAUGCGCAGAUAUCAGGAGGAACACCGGUGGCCGAAGGCGGGUCUCUGGGC
rnacentral:rRNA from 1 species